CCUACGGGUGGCAGCAGCGAGGAGUUUUCCCCAAUGGAGCCGAGGCUCUGAGGGAGCAACGCCGCGUGCAGGACGACGCCCUUCGGGGUGUAAACUGCUUUUGGGCGGGAAGAUGAUGACGGUACCGCCCGAAUAAGUCCCGGCAAACUACGUGCCAGCAGCCGCGGUAACACGUAGGGGGCGAGCGUUAUCCGGAUUUACUGGGCGUAAAGCGCGCGCAGGCGGCGUGGCGAGUCACGCGUGAAAGGCCCCGGCUCAACCGGGGACGUGCGGGUGAGACUGCCGGGCUCGAGCGCGGGAGAGGGAAGCGGAAUCCCCGGUGUAGUGGUGAAAUGCGUAGAUAUCGGGGGGAACACCAGUGGCGAAGGCGGCUUCCUGGCCCGCGGCUGACGCUGAGGCGCGAAGGCCAGGGGAGCGAACGGGAUUAGAUACCCUUGUAG
rnacentral:rRNA from 1 species